AGAGUUUGAUCCUGGCUCAGAUUGAACGCUGGCGGCAGGCCUAACACAUGCAAGUCGAGCGGUAGCACAGAGAGCUUGCUCUCGGGUGACGAGCGGCGGACGGGUGAGUAAUGUCUGGGAAACUGCCUGAUGGAGGGGGAUAACUACUGGAAACGGUAGCUAAUACCGCAUAAUGUCGCAAGACCAAAGUGGGGGACCUUCGGGCCUCAUGCCAUCAGAUGUGCCCAGAUGGGAUUAGCUAGUAGGUGGGGUAACGGCUCACCUAGGCGACGAUCCCUAGCUGGUCUGAGAGGAUGACCAGCCACACUGGAACUGAGACACGGUCCAGACUCCUACGGGAGACAGCAGUGGGGAAUAUUGCACAAUGGGCGCAAGCCUGAUGCAGCCAUGCCGCGUGUGUGAAGAAGGCCUUCGGGUUGUAAAGCACUUUCAGCGGGGAGGAAGGCGUUAAGGUUAAUAACCUUGGCGAUUGACGUUACCCGCAGAAGAAGCACCGGCUAACUCCGUGCCAGCAGCCGCGGUAAUACGGAGGGUGCAAGCGUUAAUCGGAAUUACUGGGCGUAAAGCGCACGCAGGCGGUCUGUCAAGUCGGAUGUGAAAUCCCCGGGCUCAACCUGGGAACUGCAUUCGAAACUGGCAGGCUAGAGUCUUGUAGAGGGGGGUAGAAUUCCAGGUGUAGCGGUGAAAUGCGUAGAGAUCUGGAGGAAUACCGGUGGCGAAGGCGGCCCCCUGGACAAAGACUGACGCUCAGGUGCGAAAGCGUGGGGAGCAAACAGGAUUAGAUACCCUGGUAGUCCACGCCGUAAACGAUGUCGAUUUGGAGGUUGUGCCCUUGAGGCGUGGCUUCCGGAGCUAACGCGUUAAAUCGACCGCCUGGGGAGUACGGCCGCAAGGUUAAAACUCAAAUGAAUUGACGGGGGCCCGCACAAGCGGUGGAGCAUGUGGUUUAAUUCGAUGCAACGCGAAGAACCUUACCUGGUCUUGACAUCCACAGAACUUUCCAGAGAUGGAUUGGUGCCUUCGGGAACUGUGAGACAGGUGCUGCAUGGCUGUCGUCAGCUCGUGUUGUGAAAUGUUGGGUUAAGUCCCGCAACGAGCGCAACCCUUAUCCUUUGUUGCCAGCGGUUCGGCCGGGAACUCAAAGGAGACUGCCAGUGAUAAACUGGAGGAAGGUGGGGAUGACGUCAAGUCAUCAUGGCCCUUACGACCAGGGCUACACACGUGCUACAAUGGCAUAUACAAAGAGAAGCGACCUCGCGAGAGCAAGCGGACCUCAUAAAGUAUGUCGUAGUCCGGAUUGGAGUCUGCAACUCGACUCCAUGAAGUCGGAAUCGCUAGUAAUCGUAGAUCAGAAUGCUACGGUGAAUACGUUCCCGGGCCUUGUACACACCGCCCGUCACACCAUGGGAGUGGGUUGCA
rnacentral:rRNA from 1 species